rnacentral:lncRNA from 11 species
CGAUAAUAUAAAUGAAAUAACCAUUCGAACUUAAAUCGUCUGAGCAUAAAUUACAAUUAACCGUAGCAUGCGUGCGCAUCGCAUGAGCGCACGCACGUGCAACUUACGGUAUUAAAUUCAUUUCUGUAUUUUAUCGAAACGUGAAGAGUAAUGCGUUAGAACAGGAAUGCAGCUUAUUAUAAUAUAUAUUUGCAUGUGAAAGAAGAUUAUCAAUUUCUUAUUUGCUAUUUCUUAUCAAGUUAGCUUAUGUUUCGCUAUGAUUAUUCAGAAGAAUAAAAAGGAUGUGAAUUUAAUAUUGUAAUCCAUGUAUAUAAGUGAACGUUAUUUACCAUGUGUCAACUUUGUUCUUACCGAUGGAUUGGGUGUUGUAUAUCAACUUGUAGCAAUUACCGUCUGCCCGACGGUUAAUUAAGGAUUGGGGCAAUGAGGCCCAGCAAUGCAGUUUCCGUGAUAAUAAUUAUCUGCGAUAGUAAUUGAAUAGGUUGUUACGCCGUCGAGCAAAUCGAGACAUCAAAGAACCUAGAAUAAAAAAGAAUCAAGAAAUUUUUGAUAUUUUAUUUAUGAUUACUCGUCUAUUUUUUAUUUGUAUGUUUCUGAAACAUCGUAAGAUGAAUAAUUCUGGUAGCAAAGUUAGUAAGAAAGGAACGCUUGGUGAGGCGAGCGAGCCUGCAGGCAAAACGGCUGGACGAGAUCAUGUGGAUGUAUGUGAACGUGAACAAGUAAUACGUUCAUAGACGAAGAAAAGAUGCCGAGGGAAACUGACCGUCGUCGUCCUGUACUCCGUAAAAAAGAGAAUACACGAGAUUUAUGUCGGCCCCCGGACUUUUCGUCACGCUUUGUUUAGGAUACGGUUUUAGUUUUGAGAAAACUCUUGGGGCUUCUUCCUUCUUUUUAAUUGCAACGGGUCAGUUUCAGUUGUUUAUUCAGCUCUGGGCCACUGGCAGUACAUAUAACACUGCAACAAAAAUGAAGGGUAGAAAGCUCGAUUCGCCGAGGCAUGACCAACAGAGUACUGCAAAAGCUCAUACAUAUGUAGACGACUCGGACAUCAGGAACCAUGGGGAGGACCCUCCGGAAAAAUGAAUAUGCAGCCCCAUAAAAGUUUGUUCAUUCGUUCAUUCAUAAUGUCGCCAAGGACGAGACUUCUCUGGCUUGUAGAUUGUCAAGGUAGAAGGGACGAGUAGCAACCCUUCAUCGAAGGAGGUGGCGAAGGAAGAAAGAAGAAAGAGGUGAAGCUAGGAGGGGAAGGGAAAGGAAAGAACGAGGCUGAAUGCGGUGACUGUGACGCUUUCCGGUCAGGUGCCGCCCUGACGAUCCUUCUCCUACCAACUUCCACUUGGAUCCACUCAUUCACUUACUUUUACCCUCCUUCAUUUCUUCCUUCUACAACAUCCUACUCGAUGAAGAAAAAAAAAGAAAAGAAAAUAGAAUGCACACAGAAGAAAAUUAUAUUCCUUUUUAAGUCAAGAUCAUGAGAUUUGAAGAAAAGAAGAAAUGGAAUA